CCGCGUGAGUGAUGAAGGUUUUCGGAUCGUAAAGCUCUGUUGUUAGGGAAGAACAAGUGCGAGAGUAACUGCUCGCACCUUGACCGUACCUAACCCAGAAAGCCACGGCUAACUACGUGCCAGCAGCCGCGGUAAUACGUAGGUGGCAAGCGUUGUCCGGAAUUAUUGGGCGUAAAGGGCUCGCAGGCGGUUUCUUAAGUCUGAUGUGAAAGCCCCCGGCUCAACCGGGGAGGGUCAUUGGAAACUGGGAAACUUGAGUGCAGAAGAGGAGAGUGGAAUUCCACGUGUAGCGGUGAAAUGCGUAGAGAUGUGGAGGAACACCAGUGGCGAAGGCGACUCUCUGGUCUGUAACUGACGCUGAGGAGCGAAAGCGUGGGGAGCGAACAGGAUUAGAUACCCUGGUAGUCCACGCCGUAAACGAUGAGUGCUAAGUGUUAGGGGGUUUCCGCCCCUUAGUGCUGCAGCUAACGCAUUAAGCACUCCGCCUGGGGAGUACGGUCGCAAGACUGAAACUCAAAGGAAUUGACGGGGGCCCGCACAAGCGGUGGAGCAUGUGGUUUAAUUCGAAGCAACGCGAAGAACCCUUACCAGGUCUUGACAUCCUCUGACAACCCUAGAGAUAGGGCUUUCCCUUCGGGGACAGAGUGACAGGUGGUGCAUGAUUGUCGUCAGCUCGUGUCGUGGAGAUGCUGGGUUAAGUCCCGCAACGAGCGCACCC
rnacentral:rRNA from 1 species